UACGGGGGGAGCAAGCGUUGUUCGGAUUUACUGGGCGUAAAGGCGCGUAGGCGGCCAGCACAAGUCAGUUGUGAAAUCUCCGAGCUUAACUCGGAAAGGUCAACUGAUACUGUGCGGCUAGAGUCCGGUAGGGGAGUGUGGAAUUCCCGGUGUAGCGGUGAAAUGCGCAGAUAUCGGGAGGAACACCAGUAGCGAAGGCGACACUCUGGGCCGGUACUGACGCUGAGGAGCGAAAGCGUGGGGAGCAAACAGG
rnacentral:rRNA from 1 species